UUAAGUGAUUCUUCUCCAUGCCCUAGGAGUGAGAAGCAUAAGCCAGUUGAGAAGGAAGCCGACUUGGCGGCCCUUUUGUUGGCUAAGGAACGAUUUACGAUGGAUAAACUCGUUCCUGAGGUGGAGGAUCCUGAUUAUGCUUUCUUUGAAAGUGUUUUGGUUCUGAAUCCUAAAGUGCUCCAUCUUAAUGCAGGGGGCUAUAAUCUGGAAAAUCAGUUUUUCCUGGACUUGGCGGCUCCUCGGAAAUGGGUGUCAACAGAGCAUAUGGAAGCAUUGAUAGAUUACGUGGGGGUGAG